GAAACCCCAGGCCGAUCGGCCUGAGAGGAUCCAGGUCGAUCAGCCUGGGCCUUCCUCUUGCCCUCUCACGUCCUGCUCGUCUCCAAGUCUACUCAGGUGCUUUGGAAUCUUCUUUUCACUUACAUGUGGGCCUAGCACGUCGGUAGCUUCAGGAUGAGAUUGAUCUUUAAUGACUUUCCAAAUCUCCACUUGAUCUUCUCCGAUUCCUCUUUGAUCCCAAGCUAGUCAUUACCAUAUUUCCUAGGUAAUGUUGGAAAGUUGCUUGUCAAAAAUAGGCACCAGUGGGCGCCAAAGGGUACCAGGCCGAUCGGCCUAGCCCUUUGAUUUUCGUCUUCGUCUAGUUCGAUGCUCGUUCAGUGCUUUAUCCAAAAAUAUACUUUUAGGCUCAAUUUUCUGAAAAAACACAACAUCCCCCAAAAUACGUUGCAUACGUGAAAAUGAUCAGUUUAUUAGGUGUGAUCGAUAGUUUAGAUAUUAAAUUUAUAUCAUUAUUGAAGAUAAAUAGGGAUAAAAGUGUGUCAAUAACGAGCGUUAAUAGAUUGCUCGGCGUCGAGGAAGCCAGCUGACAUGCUGCCUGCGCAUGACGUUCGGUGCGGUGGCUUUGACAGAGAGGGAAGGACCUAGCUGCUUAUCAUGUUAACGCUGGCUAACGCACUAGCGGCGUGGCAGGUGGCGGCGGUCGCUGCAGCUGUAGCAGCCUAUGCUGUCUGCAACCGCGCGUCCAUUGAGAUUUGAGAAGUCACACCUGGUGAACCUUCAGUUCCAGAAGAAUGUGCAGUUGCACGUGCUUUCUUCAGUAGAUAUGCUAUUCCCUUUGGCUUGUUUGAUUAGCUGGAUUCGAGAUACACUACAAACCUGGCGCGGCUUUGCCGCACCCUUUGUUGGGUUUAGCCAAACUAUCCAUAUGUUGAGAUAAAACUUACAGAGCAGUGCUUGGAAAGGGUUGUGCUGAGCAGACAGAACCAUGUAUCUAUUUGACGCAGAAAUAAAAAAGUAUUAACAAUCCAACGUUUAAGUGCUACUUGAGGAAUGGUGUUAUGUACAAUCUUAAAAUAUAGGCCAGGUCUUACUAACAUGCCACAACAAUAAUACUAUUUUUCAUCUAGCAUCUAUAGCUGUUUGAAUACAGAUAAUAUUGGGACCACAGAUUUGGGAACAGAAGCAACAACGUUUUACAAAACCUUGAUUAGCUCGUCAAAUGAACCGGUAUUUGACCCCUGAUUUGCAAGGACACGGGUUUUUGAGAUGCUUCGUUGUUGGGAUUUUCAGAUCGAGACAUGCUCAAGGGAAUUAACUUUUUUCUUGCCCUGGCAGAUUGAAUCGAUAAUGUUUGGAGCAGCAUGCCCUCAAGAUGCCAUGGACAGUGUUUGUGGCGAGCUGCAAGUUCAUAAUGUAGCAGGUGAGCCUAAAUUGCCCCUCACCCUUUGCGAUGACUUUAUACAAAUUAUACGGAAUUAUUGGUGGGGUGCAGAGAAUGAUCGAAGGAAGACACAUUGGUGCUUUUGGGAGACAAUGCUACAACCAAAGAGUAAUGGUGGAUUGGGCUUUCGAGACUUGCGUCUUUUUAACCAGGCUUUGCUUGCUCGACAGGGAUGGAGGCUGUUAUUAUACCCGGAUAGUUUGUGUUCAAAGCUAUUAAAGGUCAAAUAUUACCCGAGGGAAAAUUUGUUGGCUACAGUAUUUGGCGGCAGUAUUUCAC
rnacentral:lncRNA from 1 species